rnacentral:rRNA from 1 species
GUGGCGAACGGGUGAGUAACACGUGAGCAACCUGCCCCGGACUCUGGGAUAAGCGCUGGAAACGGCGUCUAAUACCGGAUAUGAGCAACAGUCGCAUGACUAGUUGUUGGAAAGAUUUUUUGGUCUGGGAUGGGCUCGCGGCCUAUCAGCUUGUUGGUGAGGUAAUGGCUCACCAAGGCGUCGACGGGUAGCCGGCCUGAGAGGGUGACCGGCCACACUGGGACUGAGACACGGCCCAGACUCCUACGGGAGGCAGCAGUGGGGAAUAUUGCACAAUGGGCGGAAGCCUGAUGCAGCAACGCCGCGUGAGGGAUGACGGCCUUCGGGUUGUAAACCUCUUUUAGCAAGGAAGAAGCGAAAGUGACGGUACUUGCAGAAAAAGCGCCGGCUAACUACGUGCCAGCAGCCGCGGUAAUACGUAGGGCGCAAGCGUUAUCCGGAAUUAUUGGGCGUAAAGAGCUCGUAGGCGGUUUGUCGCGUCUGCUGUGAAAUCUGGGGGCUCAACUCCCAGCCUGCAGUGGGUACGGGCAGACUAGAGUGCGGUAGGGGAGAUUGGAAUUCCUGGUGUAGCGGUGGAAUGCGCAGAUAUCAGGAGGAACACCGAUGGCGAAGGCAGAUCUCUGGGCCGUAACUGACGCUGAGGAGCGAAAGGGUGGGGAGCAAACAGGCUUAGAUACCCUGGUAGUCCACCCCGUAAACGUUGGGAACUAGUUGUGGGG